rnacentral:ncRNA from 1 species
CAAAGGUUUUAUUUUAGCCUGGAGUUUUGGUAUAUUUUUUUUCCACAUGUUAGAUUUUUUAUUUAUAAAAUUCCUUUGCAGUGUUUAGUAUUGAGAAUCCAGUUAUUUGGGACCCAGGGAUUAAUUAGAGUUUUAAUAAAACUUGUGCCAGCAAUUGCGGUUAUACAGGUGAUGCGAUUAAAAUUUAUUGGUUUGUAAUUAAUUAUUUAAUAUAUUGGUUUAAUUUUAAGUUUGUUAGGUGAAAUUUUAAAUUUAUUUUUAAUUCAUAUUAUUGUUUUUGAAGUUGUUAAAAUCUGUUUAUAAACUAGGAUUAGAUACCCUAUUAUUAUGAUUGUAAAGUUUUAGACCUGACUAUUAAUAGCUUAUUUUCUUGAAAAUUAAUUAAUUUGGCGGUAUUUCAGUCCAUUCAGAGGAACCUGUCCUUUAAUUGAUGAUCCACGAUUUGUUCUACUUUCUUUUUUAGUUUGUAUAUCGUCGUGUUUGAAUAUUUUAUAAGAAUUUUAAUGUUCAAUUGGUUUAAUUAUAACUUAUGUCAGAUCAAGGUGCAGCUUAUAUGAGAGAAGGAGAUGGGUUACAAUAAAUUUAUUUUUGGUUUAUUUUUUUAAAUUUUUAUAAUAAAUUGGAUUUGAUAGUAAUGUUGUUUAUAUAUUCAAUGUGAUUGUGGCUCUGAAAUAUGUACAUAUUGCCCGUCGCUCUCGUUAAGGUGAGAUAAGUCGUAACAUAGUAGAUGUACUGGAAAGUGUACCUAGAAAGAU